GAGAAUGGGCAUGGUAUCCAACUGUCACCUUGGAAACACGCAACAGUUGUCAAAUCAUUGGACUUUUGGGCCGCCUCGGAUGAUCUCCUCCCCCAACUUUACAAAGCUUGGACGCACCUGACGCGAACGCCCCAUUGGCUCAUCGCCUCGGUCGCUGUGUUUCCUCCCAUGCUUUACAAAGUUUCAGUCAUCUCCCCACGCGUCGACCUUUUCCUGCCAACGCGUCGGUACGAGACGAGUCCCUAAAAUUUUACGAAGCUUGGACGCACUUGACGCGAACGCCCCACUGGCUCAUCGCCUCGGUCGCUGCGUUUCCUCCCAUGCUUUACAAAGUUUCAGUCAUCUCCCCACGCGUCGACCUUUUCCUGCCAACGCGUCGGUACGAGACGAGUCCCUAAAAUUUUAUGAAGCUUGGACGCACCUGACGCGAACGCCCCACUGGCUCAUCGCCUCGGUCGCUGCGUUUCCUCCCAUGCUUUACAAAGUUUCAGCCAUCUCCCCACGCGUUGACCUUUUCCUGCCAACGCAUCGGUGCGAGACGAGUCCCUAAAAUUUUAUGAAACUCGGACGCACCUGACGAGAACGCCCCAUUGGCUCAUCGCCUCGGCGCUGCGUUUCCUCCCAUGCUUUACAAAGUUUCAGCUACCCCCACGCCGCGGUCCGGUCAGGAAAACAAAUCCACGUAUAAUAUAAAUAUUCACUGUCACGCCUCAUUUUACGAGCUUCGAUACCGAAGUGUCAUCUCACCACCGAGGCGAAGAUCAAAUAGACCACUCCGAC
rnacentral:lncRNA from 1 species